rnacentral:rRNA from 1 species
UGGGGAAUAUUGGACAAUGGGCGAAAGCCUGAUCCAGCCAUGCCGCGUGUGUGAAGAAGGUCUUCGGAUUGUAAAGCACUUUAAGUUGGGAGGAAGGGCAGUAAGCGAAUACCUUGCUGUUUUGACGUUACCGACAGAAUAAGCACCGGCUAACUCUGUGCCAGCAGCCGCGGUAAUACAGAGGGUGCAAGCGUUAAUCGGAAUUACUGGGCGUAAAGCGCGCGUAGGUGGUUCGUUAAGUUGAAUGUGAAAGCCCCGGGCUCAACCUGGGAACUGGAUCCAAAACUGGCGAGCUAGAGUAGGGCAGAGGGUGGUGGAAUUUCCUGUGUAGCGGAGAAAUGCGUAGAUAUAGGAAGGAACACCAGUGGCGAAGGCGACCACCUGGGCUCAUACUGACACUGAGGUGCGAAAGCGUGGGGAGCAAACAGG